GACGAACGCUGGCGGCGUGCCUAAUACAUGCAAGUCGAGCGAAUCUUUGGGAGCUUGCUCCCAAAGAUUAGCGGCGGGCGGGUGAGUAACACGUGGGCAACCUGCCUAUGAGACUGGGAUAACUCCGGGAAACCGGGGCUAAUACCGGAUAAUUCUUUUCUACACAUGUAGAAAAGUUGAAAGAUGGUUUCGGCUAUCACUCAUAGAUGGGCCCGCGGCGCAUUAGCUAGUUGGUGAGGUAACGGCUCACCAAGGCGACGAUGCGUAGCCGACCUGAGAGGGUGAUCGGCCACACUGGGACUGAGACACGGCCCAGACUCCUACGGGAGGCAGCAGUAGGGAAUCUUCCGCAAUGGACGAAAGUCUGACGGAGCAACGCCGCGUGAGUGAUGAAGGUUUUCGGAUCGUAAAACUCUGUUGUUAGGGAAGAACAAGUACCGGAGUAACUGCCGGUACCUUGACGGUACCUAACCAGAAAGCCACGGCUAACUACGUGCCAGCCGCCGCGGUAACAC
rnacentral:rRNA from 1 species